UUUUUGGUAGCUUUGGCACUUUAUGCACUGGGACAGUGGCUGUUUAUUACAACUCUUAGUUCGUGACAGUGCCUUUACCAGCGAGAAUUGGUCGGCCCCAUGAGAACCCUAUAGAGCCCAUGCAGGUUGACAUAGCACCAGAGGGUGAUCAUCCUCCUUUAGAAGACAAUUUCACCUUUGAAUCUGCAACUCUGCAGCUGCAGUGAAUUGGAAUGCCUGGCUGUUGAUGCCACCUGGAUUGAAACUACAAGUUAAGAAGCCGCCCUUAAGCUUGAGAAGCUUGAUACAGACCUGAAAAAUUAUAAAAGUAACUCAAUCAAAGAGAGCAUCAGACGUGGACAUGAUGAUUUAGGGGAUCAUUACUUUGAGUGUGGAGACCUGAACAAUGCAUUAAAGUGUUACUCAAGAGCCAGAGACUACUGCACAACAGCAAAACAUGUCGUCAAUAUGUGCGUUAAUGUCAUCAAGUGGUUUUAGGUCAGUAUUCACUUGGGUAACUGGUCACAUGUGCUGAAUUAUGUAAACAAGGCUGAGAACACUUCUGAAUUAGUUGAGGCCUUGCAGAGCUUGCUACUAGGAAGUACGAAUCAGCUGCCAGGAAUUUCUUACAAGCUUCUUUUGACAACUGUGAAUGUCCAGAGCCACAGUGAUCGUCGCUGGAGGUUUCAUAUCUGUCAAAUUAAAUCAAACACUGGGAGGAAAAAAUAAUGGAAGACUUCAGAAGCAAAAAACAACAUCAGAAGGGAUCAAGCGCGGGGCAUCUUAAAGUAGAUAUGAUUUAUAAGGUUUUUUUAUAGGGCAAUGAAAUAAAAAUAGUUCUCUUGUCGGCCGAAACAGAGGGAGAUAAAAUCAUCACACGAACUUCUUCAGGUAGAAAGGGUAUAGACGCGAGCUCCUAGAAAUCAGACUCGAUGUAUCUGAGGUUCCUUUUUUAAGGUUUGGCUCUUUUAAGUUACUCUUGAGCGCGGCUAAGGAAAAGGAAAGAAUGUCGUCGGUUUGCGACCAGGAAUAUCACUGUGCCAGCUUUAGAAGUAUUUUCAUUAGUUUAUUAUUUUCAUUAUCGAUUUGAUCUGAUAAUUGAGGGUAAAUGUAAGGGGAGCUAAGCUUUGCGUUUCGUAAUAAACACUUGCUAACAUCUUCAAAGUUUCUAA